GAUUUAGUGAUUUUCUUGUUUGAUUUUCUUGGGGUAAGAUAGUUAUCCAGAUUUUGGGAAACUUUAUAAAAAUGUCUUUUUAUAAUUAAUCUCUUUUUUGUUUGGAUUCUUGUUAGGGGUUUGACACAUUUUUCAAUCACAGAUUCAAUGUGUCAAAAGCCAAAGCAAUGCUCUGGUAUAAAACUCUUUUUUUUUUGUUUUGUUAUUCUUGAAAAUCAUUUCCAUUUAUUUCUGGUCUACAUCAUUUUCUGUCUUUACCUAUCUUGCUGCAUUAUUUUUCUAAGGUUAAAGGUCACAUUGAAAAAAAAAAAAAUGAUGUCCUACUUCAAACAAACAUAUGUUAAAAAAAAUAUUAGCAGCCAAUCUGAACAAUAUCUAUCAAAAUAUUACAUCAUUUACAUUAAUGUUUUUGUAUUAUAAAGACUACACCAUAUUGCAAAUCAAAUUACCAAACAAAUUAUACCACCUCCCCAUCUUUUCACUGCUAUUUGAUGUAAGGUUGCUUAUUGUUUCAGUUCUUUCUCUUUCCCUUUCUGUAAAAUAUUCGCCACAUUUUUCUGACCAUGUAAAUAUUAACUAAAAUAUUUAACCUGUAAUACUUUAAGCAUUUUUAUACUACCUAAAUGCCCAUAUUAAAAUACCUUUUUUCUUCAAAAUGGGUAUAAGAUACCUUUUUCUUCAAAAUUGGUGACGAAAAUCCUCUGUAUCUCAAGGAGUCACUGUGUGAGACAGCCAAGGAACCUGAUGUGUCACUAUUGUUCAGUCUGUUCAGCAAAUAUUUCAUGUCCAGUAGUAAAUUCAUUCUAUAAAUGUGUGUGAUGGCUGUAGCUCCUUCAACCUACAAGAAAAGUCAAAGCUUAAAAAGCCUUGCAUAUACACAUAAAUUUGACUCUUAUGGGUUUACAUUCUUGAAGUUUUUUCCUUAAUUCUUAUAGCCCAUAAUUUGAAACAGAGUUGUUUUUUUUUAUCUUUAUCCUUUUCUUAAAUCGCAUAGUGCAUCUCUAAGGUUUGGUGCCUCUGAUGGAGAAUAAAUGUAGAUUCCUUGAAUUUUUUUUUUAUGUAAGUGUCAAUGUUUAUCUAUGAUAUACAUAUUUUAUGUUAUAUCGGAUGCUGACAGCCAUAGUCUUCCUGGGGUCUAUGAGAGUUAUCUUCUUGUUUACUUCAGCUAUAAUGUUUCAGUUCAGGAAGUGGUGAACCUUACCUAGUUGGCAUCACACGAUGCUUGAUUCUGGCAGAUCCUGUGACACUUU